rnacentral:rRNA from 1 species
CCUACGGGUGGCAGCAGUGAGGAAUAUUGGUCAAUGGGCGCGAGCCUGAACCAGCCAAGUCGCGUGAGGGAAGACGGCCCUACGGGUGGUAAACCUCUUUUGCCGGGGAGCAACGGGCGCCACGUGUGGCGCCACUGAGAGUACCCGGAGAAAAAGCAUCGGCUAACUUCGUGCCAGCAGCCGCGGUAAUACGGGGGAUGCGAGCGUUAUCCGGUUUUAUGGGGUUUAAAGGGUGCGUAGGCGGAGCGUAAAGUCAGUGGUCAAAUUGCGGGGUUCAACCCCUUCCCGCCAUUAAAACUGGAGCUCUUGAGUGGAAGAGAAGUAUGCGGAAUGCGUGGUGUAGCGGUGAAAUGCAUAGAUAUCACGCAGAACCCCGAUUGCGAAGGCAGCAUGCCGGCUUCCGACUGACGCUGAAGCACGAAAGCGUGGGGAUCGAACAGGAUUAGAUACCCUUGUAGUC